rnacentral:rRNA from 1 species
UACAGAGGGUGCGAGCGUUAAUCGGAUUUACUGGGUGUAAAGGGCGCGUAGGCGGCGGGAUGUGAGUGAUGUGAAAGCCCCGGGCUUAACCUGGGAAGAGCAUUGCAGACUGUCCUGCUAGAGUACAUGAGAGGGUGGCGGAAUUUCCGGUGUAGCGGUGAAAUGCGUAGAGAUCGGAAGGAACGUCAAUGGCGAAGGCAGCCACCUGGCAUGAUACUGACGCUGAGGCGCGAAAGCGUGGGGAGCGAAC